AGUGAACGCUGGCGGUAUGCUUAACACAUGCAAGUCGUACGGCAGCCUAGUAUGAGCCUGCCUAUACAGGUGGCGAGUGGCGGACGGGCGAGGAAUACUUCGGAAUCUGCUUUUUCGUGGGGGAUAACGCAGGGAAACUUACGUGAAUACCUCAGACGAACUACGGGUGAAAGCAGGGAAUCGUCGUACCUUGCGCGAUCCAAUGAGCCGAUGUCGGAUUAGGUAGUUGGCGGGGUAAAGGCCCACCAAGGCGACGAUCCGUAGCUGGUCUGAGAGGAUGAUGAGCCACACUGGAACUGAGACACGGUCCAGACUCCUACGGGAGGCAGCAGUGAGGAAUAUUGGACGAUGGGCGCAAGCCUGAUCCAGCCAUGCCGCGUGGGUGAAGAAGGCCUUCGGGUUGUAAAGCCCUUUUGUUGGGAAAGAAAAGCAGCAGGUUAAUACCACGCUGUUAUGACGGUACCCAAAGAAUAAGCACCGGCUAACUUCGUG
rnacentral:rRNA from 1 species